AUGACAAUGAAAACUCGCCCUGAUCCGCUGGCAGACAACUAGAGAAAUCCCACACGACCAUCGAACUCGCUUUCUACAGGGGGGCGAAAUGGCGAGUGGACUCUGCGGUGCAGUGCAACUGAAUGGAAUUGGUCACAAGAUCCUCUGGGUACAACGUGGACUGGAGCAAGUUGCGGAGAAUGACACUACCAGAUAAACAUGGACAAGCUUUGAUUCUGACAACGUGCUGUUUCCGAAGCGAGGGACAGUGUAAACCUGUAUAUUGAAUGGUGAAAAAAAUCUUUUCAUACCAAGAGUUGUCUCAAUUUGGUUUCACGGGCAAGCUCGGCUCCACCUUGAAUGUAGAGCGCUGGCAAGCGGCAGUAUUCUUGCACCGAAGUACUUGGACGCAAAGACAAUAUUGCCAAAGGACAAUGUGUGUGCAAAGUCUGAUCCCAAACACAUGCAAUGUUUACAAUCGGCACUUUCAUACAAUACAGUGAGACUUUCAACAGCCCCUUUCAUUAUGAAACGCCACGCGCUGUACACUUUGCAACAAUGCAUGAAAGGGAGGUUUGGUGGAUGUGUAUUAUGCAAUAACCUUCCGCCACAAGCCCUUCUCUACCUUAGUCUGCUCGAAUGCAAGCCGCAACUUGUAGUCCUGCACCUUAGCGUGUUCCAGGAGGCAGCGCUUCGUGGGGGAAGAUGAGAAGACUGUCUGUCAUCGUGCGUUUCAGGUAAGGAUAAGAUCCAUUGAGUGAUACAGCGUGGAAACAGACCGCUCGGCCCAACUUGCCCACACCGGCCAACAUGUCCCAGCUACACUAGUCCCACCUACCCGCGUUUGGUCCAUAUCGAGGGAUAUAAACCUGUCCUAUCCUGUCAUUCGUAACUGUCACUGUAUGUCAUGUUGUUACUUGUGGGCGGAGCACCAAGGCAAAUUCCUUGUAUGUGAAUACUUGGCCAAUAAACUUACUAUC